rnacentral:rRNA from 1 species
GACAGAGGGUGCAAACGUUGUUCGGAAUUACUGGGCGUAAAAGCGCGUGUAGGCGGCCCUGCAAGUCGGGUGUGAAAUCCCACGGCUCAACCGUGGAAGUGCACUCGAAACUGCAGGGCUAGAGUCCUGGAGAGGAAGGUGGAAUGCUUGGUGUAGAGGUGAAAUUCGAUAGAUAUCAAGCGGAACACCGGGUGGCGAAGG